UUGCAGGUGUUUAUAUGUCAAUACCCAGAACACCCACCCCAGGGGUAGGUGUUGCAGGUGUUUAUAUGUCAGUACCCAGAACACCCACCCCAGGGGUAGGUGUUGCAGGUGUUUAUAUGUCAGUACCCAGAACACCCACCCCAGGGGCACAUUCACUACCCAUCACAUACUUUCAUAGCCACUCAGCUGCUGGAUACAAGACUUGUCACAUCAGUGUCUAUGACAAUCUAAAUUAUUGAUUAAAAUUCUGAGUACAAUUACUCCCCAUCUGUUGUUACUACUAAUAAUUAUCAACAAUGGUUAUAAAUGACCAUAAUUUUUAAAGGGGUGGACCGGUAAGCCAGCGGAAGGCCUCGGUCAGAUGACCAAAAGCUCCAAAGGCGGGUCAUCAUCUGACUAAGACCCGCGUCAGGAAACAUUUGUCCUGUUUCCUGACGAACCUUACCUAACCUAACCUGUUGUUACUACUCCUGGCCCCGCCUGUGCAUGUGUACUCACCUACAUGUGGUUGCAGGGGUCGAGUCACAGCUCCCCCUGGCACUAGCCCUUCAUCCCAAGAUGCGACAUAGCCCCUGCCCAUUUACUUCCAGUUACGCCAUGUAUAUAUGUUAUAUCUGAGAUAUAUCUGUAUGGUUAUAUUGUCAGCCCCUCAAGGUGUGGCUGCCAGGACAUAGGCGGAGGGAAUUUGGCCGCCGCGGAGAAGCAAAGUUAAUUUUAGCUGGUACUGCUGGCACCACAGCUGAGACACAGCCGCCUCUCUCUAGCUCA